rnacentral:rRNA from 1 species
GAAUUAGAUCAUUGCAAACUGCUCAGUAACACGUGGAUAACCUGCCCUAUGCUCUGGGAUAACCUCGGGAAACUGAGAAGAAUACCGGAUAGACCACAACGCCUGGAACGGUGUGUGGUUGAAAGGUCACACGGCAUAGGAUGGGUCUGCGGCGUAUCAGGUCGUAGGGGGUGUAACGGACCUCCUAGCCAUCGACGCGUACGGGUUGUGGGAGCAAUAGCCCGGAGAUGGAUUCUGAGACACGAAUCCAGACCCUACGGGGUGCAGCAGGCGCGAAAACUUCACACUGCAGGAAACUGUGAUGAGGGAACUCCAAGUGACUGCACAUUGUGUAGCCUUUUCUUUACUAUUAAUCGGUAUUGGAAUAAGGGCUGGGAAAGACCGGUGCCAGCCGCCGCGGUAAUACCGGCAGCUCAAGUGGUCGUCGCUUUUAUUGGGCCUAAAACGUCCGUAGCCUGUUUGGUAAAUCUGUGGGUAAAUCAACCAGCUUAACUGGUUGAAUUCUGCAGAGACUGCCAGACUAGGGACCGGGAGAGGUGUGGGGUACUCUAGGGGUAGGGGUAAAAUCCUGUCAUCCUUAGAGGACCACCAGUUGCGAAGGCGCCACACUGGAACGGAUCCGACGGUCAGGGACGAAGCCUAGGGGCACGAACCGGAUUAGAUACCCGGGUAGUCCUAGGUGUAAACGCUGUGAACUUGGUGUCGGGAGUCCGCAAUGGGCCCCCGGUGCCGGAGUGAAGAUGUUAAGUUCACUGCCUGGGGAGUACGGUCGCAAGGCUGAAACUUAAAGGAAUUGGCGGGGGAGCACUGCAACGGGAGGAGCGUGCGGUUUAAUUGGACUCAACGCCGGAA